GAGAGAGGACAACUUGCAGGAGUCAGGUCUCAUCAGGAUUGGUGGCUGGUAUCUUUACCCGUUAAUCCAUCUUGCUAUUCCCGUUUUCCACUUUUUAAAACCCCAUAUUAAGGGUUGCCUGGUCUCCUUUUUUGUCUAUGUCUUUUUUUAUAACUAUGUGGUGAACCAUUUGGGUGAAGUGUGUAGAUCUUAUCAUAACAUAAAAAUUCAAUCAUGACACCUCUUUAAAAAAAAAAAGAAUGUUUGUAAAGGGAGCCCAACCUUGACUAGACAGAAGACAAAAAUAGUAUUUGAAUUAACUUCCUUUACUAAGUAGUUGACAGACUUAACUAUAUUUAUUGGAGAUUGGGGCUAACCACCUUAUAAAUAAACCACUUUAUGAGUUUUUAAUGUGUCCUAUAUUAAAAAUGCAUUGCUUUCCAUGGUAAAUUAAAUAUAUUUUAAAGUCAAUAUUUUCCUUCUUACUUUUGGUUAAAUGAGAUAAGAUUUCUGCAUAUUUCACAGUGUGAUUAAGUAGAAAAAAAAUCACUUGGGAAAUUAUCUAAUAAAGGAAAAUAUCUGCUUGCACAUAAGAAGUUGAAGAAUGUUGGCACAAAAAGAAUCAGACCCAAAGCUCAACGGCAUGAACUUUGGAAAGUGCAGAUACUGGAGUUCCAGGUGACAGAUCACUGACGAGAAUCUCUUUAUAGCUGUGAGUUCACUACUGUUCCAGCUCAUUCCACACCUGCCUCUCCAGACUUGAUCAUGAGGAAAUGUGGCAGGCAAAUAUAGUCUGCUUCACCAUAAUCUCUUCCUCUUUCCUCCAAAUGAGAACAUUCUGCUUUUCUGUUUGUCAGCGAUCUGGGAAUCUCGAGCAGCAGCUGCGGGAACUCAUUCAUGGCUACCAGCUCUUGGAAUGACAUGUACUCACUCGUGGCUACGAUGGCUCCAGGGAAUGUUAAGUGGUCGCUGGUUCAGGAGGAAUGGGAAACUCAAUCAAAUCAAAGGAAUGGACGGAAAGAAUGAAAAACUCAAGAAUUGGAUAAUGAAACCUGUGUGCUUAUUGCUGUUUCUCCAAACACAAGACCACCAGCACCACCUCUCUGAGGAGGAUGUACUGUAGUAGAUGAAGCAGAUGGCUGAAUUCAUUUGACUUCAUUUGCCUAAGGUCAGUAUUGACUUUAAAGACAUUUCGGCUUUAGUUCUAAGUUCCAGAUGAAAACAUGACAGACCUCCUCUGGCAACAGUGGUCUUUACCACAUGACAGUAGCCUAACUAGCAGGCUUGCAGAGAGACAGUGAUUUGUAGCAUCAUGGAGUCAUCUCUGAACCAGUACAGCUCAAUGGUCUCUGCACUAUAGUUAAUUUUCACUGAACUGCAGUGGCCUGAAAACAGACCCAACAGACAGGACAACACAAUAGUGUGUAGUCUAACACCAGAUCCUUUCAAGUAGAAUGUAAAAGUUCCACCAGAAGCAUUCCUAGGUUGCUUUACAGAAUCGGAAUGCAGAUGGUAGGAUAAAAUAGGCCAUUGAUGUACAUUUUACUGAAGUUGGUAACUGUCGUAAUUUCUGUCAAUUUGACACACAUCUAGACAUACCUAAGAAGAAAGAUUUGCCUCCACAGACUGGCUUAUGGGAAUGUCUGAGGAACAUGUUCUUGAUUGGUGACUGAUGUGGGCAAGUCCAGCCCACUAGCAGUGUCAUGCCAGGGCAGGUGCGUGUACACUGUAAAAGAUAACUGGGUAACACAAGAGAGUGAGCGAGUAAGCAGUAUUCCUCCAUGACCUCUGCUUUAGAUCCUGCCUCAGCUUCAC
rnacentral:sRNA from 1 species